UGGUUACCGUGAUAGUCUAGUGAAUCUGAGACGUUAUUUUAUGGGGAAAGUUCGGUGCAAAACCGGCGCUGUCCCGCAACUGUGAUGGCGUAAGUGCAACCGUUUUUGACUAUUUUUUAAAGCUGUUUGCAUUGCGUUCCAAAGCCAGAAUGCCCAUACGUCUUCAAUUCACCUG
rfam:Phormidesmis priestleyi Ana ITZX_scaf_87, whole genome shotgun sequence.